rnacentral:rRNA from 1 species
AUUGAACGCUGGCGGCAUGCUUUACACAUGCAAGUCGAGCGGCAGCGCGGGGCAACCUGGCGGCGAGCGGCGAACGGGUGAGUAAUGCAUCGGAACGUGCCCCGUAGUGGGGGACAACCCAGCGAAAGCUGGGCUAAUACCGCAUAUGCUCUGCGGAGGAAAGCGGGGGACCUCGCGAGGGGCCUCGCGCUAUGGGAGCGGCCGAUGUCCGAUUAGCUGGUUGGUGGGGUAAUGGCUUACCAAGGCGACGAUCGGUAGCUGGUCUGAGAGGAUGAUCAGCCACACUGGGACUGAGACACGGCCCAGACUCCUACGGGAGGCAGCAGUGGGGAAUUUUGGACAAUGGGGGCAACCCUGAUCCAGCCAUGCCGCGUGCGGGAAGAAGGCCUUCGGGUUGUAAACCGCUUUUAGCCGGGAAGAAAUGGCUUCGUUUAAUACACGAGGUUCUUGACGGUACCGGCGGAAUAAGCACCAGCUAACUACGUGCCAGCCGCCGCCGUAA